UACGUAGGUGGCGAGCGUUGUCCGGAUUUACUGGGCGUAAAGGGAGCGUAGGCGGACUUUUAAGUGAGAUGUGAAAUACCCGGGCUCAACUUGGGUGCUGCAUUUCAAACUGGAAGUCUAGAGUGCAGGAGAGGAGAAUGGAAUUCAUAGUGUAGCGGUGAAAUGCGUAGAGAUUAGGAAGAACACCAGUGGCGAAGGCGAUUCUCUGGACUGUAACUGACGCUGAGGCUCGAAAGCGUGGGGAGCAAACAGGAUUAGAUACCCGU
rnacentral:rRNA from 1 species